AUUGAACGCUGGCGGCAUGCCUUACACAUGCAAGUCGAACGGCAGCAUGGAGAGCUUGCUCUCUGAUGGUGAGUGGCGAACGGGUGAGUAAUGCAUCGGAACGUACCGUGUAAUGGGGGAUAACGUAGCGAAAGUUACGCUAAUACCGCAUACGACCUGAGGGUGAAAGCAGGGGAUCGCAAGACCUUGCGUUAUACGAGCGGCCGAUGUCAGAUUAGCUAGUUGGUGAGGUAAAGGCUCACCAAGGCGACGAUCUGUAGCGGGUCUGAGAGGAUGAUCCGCCACACUGGGACUGAGACACGGCCCAGACUCCUACGGGAGGCAGCAGUGGGGAAUUUUGGACAAUGGGGGCAACCCUGAUCCAGCCAUGCCGCAUGAGUGAAGAAGGCCUUCGGGUUGUAAAGCUCUUUCGGCCGGGAAGAAAUCGCACAGGCUAAUACUCUGUGUGGAUGACGGUACCGGCAUAAGAAGCACCGGCUAACUACGUGCCAGCCGCCGCAGUAA
rnacentral:rRNA from 1 species